AACCAUAGGCCAUGAAUCUGGUCUUGGGACACUGUCAGGUGGGCAGUUUGACUGGGGCGGUCGCCUCCCAAAAGGUAACGGAGGCGCUCAAAGGUUCUCUCAGUACGGUCGGAAAUCGUACGUAGAGGGUAAAGGCAAAAGAGAGCUUGAUUGCAAGACAUACAGGUCGAGCAAGGAUGAAAAUCGGACUUAGUGAUCCGGUGGUUCUGCGUGGAAGGGCCAUCGCUCAACGGAUAAAAGCUACCCUGGGGAUAACAGGCUUAUCUCCCCCAAGAGUCCACAUCGACGGGGAGGUUUGGCACCUCGAUGUCGGC
rnacentral:rRNA from 1 species